GGGCCCUUUCCGGUCACGAUAGCCUGAACGAAGAAUCCGAACAUCGAGAACAUGGCCAAUCGCCCGUUCUUGAUCUCCUUCACCUUCAACUCAGCGAAGGUGUCGGGGUCGUCAGCCAAACCCAAGGGGUCGAAUGAGCCUCCGGGGUAGAUGGGGUCAGUCACCUCACCCAAUGGUCCACCGGCAACACGGUAACCCUCAACAGCUCCCAUAAGGAUAACCUGGCAAGCCCAGAUGGCCAGGAUGCUCUGAGCGUGCACAAGGCUGGGGUUGCCCAAGUAAUCAAGACCACCCUCGCUGAAGAUUUGAGCUCCGGCCUUGAACCACACAGCUUCACCGAACUUCACACCGCUCUUCGCCAACAGCUCAGGGGUCACGCACCCCAAAGCUCCGAGCAUGGCCCAGCGGGCGUGAAUAACCUCAAGCUCCCUGUUGCGGGCAAAGGUCUCGGGGUCGGAGGAGAGUCCAGCGGUGUCCCAUCCGUAGUCACCAGCGAACUCACCGUUAAGGUAUGAGGGGGUCUCACCGGAAAAUGGGCCCAAAUACUUGGGUCUGUCAGCUCCAUACCUACAUUGUUCACAGCAAUGUUAACCUGGUUAGCGAUUAAUGUCACACCAUUACCGGACAUAUUAUAUUAAUGAGCCACCCAUUAUCAGAAACGCGGCAGGAACCAUGUGCAAAUGCUCGACAACAGCUAACUAAUCAACAACAACUGCACACUGAUCGCAGAUACAAAAGCAACCAGCGCGACUCAAUAACGCACC
rnacentral:lncRNA from 1 species